rnacentral:rRNA from 1 species
GUUUGAUUAUGGCUCAGAUUGAACGCUGGCGGGAUGCUUUACACAUGCAAGUCGAACGCCUUUGAGCUUCGGUCUGGUGGCGAGUGGCGAACGGGUGAGUAAUGUAUCGGAACGUGCCCAGUAGCGGGGAUAACUACGCGAAAGCGUAGCUAAAUACCGCAUACGCCCUUCGAAGAGAAAGCAGGGGACCUUUGGGCCUCGCACUAUUAGAGCGGCCGAUAUCGGAUUAGCUAGUUGGUGGGGUAACGGCUCACCAAAGGCGACGAUCCGCUGGCUGAACGGGGGACGACCAAAAGCACACUGGGACUGAGACACGGCCCAGACUCCUACGGGAGGCAGCAGUGGGGAAUUUUGGACAAUGGGGGAAACCCUGGUCAACCAUCCCGCGUGUGCGAUGAAGGCCUUCGGGUUGUAAAGCACUUUUGGCAGGAAAGAAACAGCACGGGAUAAUGCGAUACAACUGAUACCUGCAGAAUAAGCACCGGCUAACUACGUGCCAGCAGCGCGGUAAUGCAGCAGGGUGCAAGCGUUAAUCAGGAGUACUGGGCGUAAAGCGUGCGCAGGCGGUUCCGGAAAAGAUGCUGAGAAAUCCCAGAGCUUAACUUUGGAACUGCAUUUUAACUACCAGUAGAGUGUGUCAGAGAGGUAGGUGCGAUACGAGAAAUGCGUAGAUAUGCGGAGGAACACCGAUGGCGAAGGCAGCCUCCUGGGAUAACACUGACCGCUCAUGCACGAAAAGCGUGGGAGCAAACAGGUUAGAUACCCUGGUAGUCCACGCCUAAACGAUGUCAACUAGCUGUUGGGGCCUUUGAGCCUUGGUAGCGCAGCUAACGCGUGAGGAGGUGACCGCCUGCAUUUGGUCGCAAGAUUAAACUCAAAGGAAUUGACGGGGACCCGCACAAGCGGUGGAUGAUGUGGAUUAAUAAUUCGAUGCAACGAAAAACGCCACCUACCCUUGACAUGUCUGGAAUCCGAAGAGAUUUGGGAGUGCUCGCAAAGAGAACCGGAACACAGGUGCUGCAUAGCUGUCGUCAGCUCGUGUCGUGAGAUGUUAGGUUAAGUCCCGCAACAGUACAACCCUUGUCCAUUAGUUGCUACGAAAGGGCACUCUAAUGGGGCUAUGAUGACAAACCGGAGGAAGGUGGGGAUGACGUCAAGUCCUCAUGGCCCUUAUGGGUAGGGCUUCACACGUCAUACAAUGGUCAGGACAGAGGUCGCCAACCUUGCGAGGAGCCAAUCCCAGAAACCCGAUCAGCCAGUCGGAUCAUGAUCUGCAGCUCGACUGCGUGAAGUCGGAAUCGCUAGUAAUCGCGGAUCAGCGUAUCGCGGUGAAUACGUUCCCGGGUCUUGUACACACCGCCCAAUACUUUCAUGGAGUAGGUUUACAGAAGUAGUUAGCUAACCGUAAAGAGGCGAUUACACGGUAAGGAUUCAUGACUGGGGCGAAGUCGUAACAAGGUAG